GACGAACGCUGGCGGCGUGCUUAACACAUGCAAGUCGAACGGAAAGGCCCUGCUUUUGUGGGGUGCUCGAGUGGCGAACGGGUGAGUAACACGUGAGUAACCUGCCCUUGACUUUGGGAUAACUUCAGGAAACUGGGGCUAAUACCGGAUAGGAGCUCCUGCUGCAUGGUGUGGGUUGGAAAGUUUCGGCGGUUGUGGAUGGACUCGCGGCUUAUCAGCUUGUUGGUGGGGUAGUGGCUUACCAAGGCUUUGACGGGUAGCCGACCUGAGAGGGUGAACGGGCACAUUGGGACUGAGAUACGGCCCAGAAUGCUACGGGAGGCAGCAGGGGAGAAUAUUACGCAAUAGGCGGAAGCCUGAUGCGGAAACGCCGCGUGCGGGAUGACGGCCUUCGAGUUGUAAACCGCUUUCGCCGGAGACGAAGCGUGAGUGACGGUAAUGAGUAAAAAAGCACCGGCUAACUACGUG
rnacentral:rRNA from 1 species